rnacentral:rRNA from 1 species
GACGAACGCUGGCGGCGUGCUUAACACAUGCAAGUCGAACGAUGAAGCUAGAGCUUGCUCUGGUGAAUUAGUGGCGAACGGGUGAGUAACACGUGAGUAACCUGCCCCGAACUCUGGGAUAACUGCUGGAAACGGUAGCUAAUACUGGAUACGACCUACGAAGGCAUCUUCUGUAGGUGGAAAGAAUUUCGGUUCGGGAUGGACUCGCGGCCUAUCAGCUAGUUGGAGGGGUAACGGCCCACCAAGGCGACGACGGGUAGCCGGCCUGAGAGGGCGACCGGCCACACUGGGACUGAGACACGGCCCCGACUCCUACGGGGGGCAGCAGUGGGGAAUAUUGGUCAAUGGGCGCAAGCCUGAUGCAGCAACGCCGCGUGAGGGACGACGGCCUUCGGGUUGUAAACCUCUUUUAGUAGGGAAGAAGCGAAAGUGACGGUACCUGCAGAAAAAGCACCGGCUAACUACGUGCCAGCCGCCGCAGUAA